GACGAACGCUGGCGGCGUGCCUAAUACAUGCAAGUAGAACGCUGAAGGAGGAGCUUGCUUCUCUGGAUGAGUUGCGAACGGGUGAGUAACGCGUAGGUAACCUGCCUGGUAGCGGGUGAUAACUAUUGGAAACGAUAGCUAAUACCGCAUAAUAGUAGAUGUUGCAUGACAUUUGCUUAAAAGGUGCAAUUGCAUCACUACCAGAUGGACCUGCGUUGUAUUAGCUAGUUGGUGGGGUAACGGCUCACCAAGGCGACGAUACAUAGCCGACCUGAGAGGGUGAUCGGCCACACUGGGACUGAGACACGGCCCAGACUCCUACGGGAGGCAGCAGUAGGGAAGCUUCGGCAAUGGACGGAAGUCUGACCGAGCAACGCCGCGUGAGUGAAGAAGGGUUUCGGAUCGUAAAGCUCUGUUGUAAGAGAAGAACGAGUGUGAGAGUGGAAAGUUCACACUGUGACGGUAUCUUACCAGAAAGGGACGGCUAACUACGUG
rnacentral:rRNA from 1 species